AAAAUAUUUUGAAAUUUAUACAGUUUGUAAACCAAAGGCUUAUGCAGAAUCAGCAACAGACGAACUUCACCAGCUGAUCAAAAAACACACUCUACUUGUUUAAUAUAUAAUCAAAGCACAUUCUAAACAACGAGUUUAUUACAAUCAUACGUGUUACGUGCGCACAUAGAUGACCUUAACGUAUAUG